UCUCCGUAGGUGAACCUGCGGAGGGAUCAUUAAUGAGUGAGGGGGCCACCCCCAACCUCCAACCCUUUGUGAACGCAUCAUGUUGCUUCGGGGGCGACCCUGCCGUUCGCGGCAUUCCCCCCGGAGGUCAUCAAAACACUGCAUUCUUACGUCGGAGUAAAAAGUUAAUUUAAUAAAACUUUCAACAACGGAUCUCUUGGUUCUG
rnacentral:misc_RNA from 1 species